rnacentral:rRNA from 1 species
UACAGAGGUGGCAAGCGUUGUUCGGAAUUAUUGGGCGUAAAGGGCGCGUAGGCGGCCUUCUAAGUCAGACGUGAAAUCCCCCGGCUUAACCUGGGAACUGCGUCUGAUACUGGGAGGCUUGAGUAUGGGAGAGGGAUGUAGAAUUCCAGGUGUAGCGGUGAAAUGCGUAGAUAUCUGGAGGAAUACCGGUGGCGAAGGCGGCAUCCUGGACCAUAACUGACGCUGAGGCGCGAAAGCUAGGGGAGCAAACGGG